ensembl:lncRNA
CCAGACAGGCUCUUCCUCCCCGAAACCAGCACCUGCACGUGGCAAGCGUGAAACGCCCCGUGCUGGCCCCAAACCUGCUGGUUUUAGGGCAGCACCACGGCCGGCUGAGCAGCAGGGACAGCUGUGGGCUGAUUCACGCUGCAUUUCCUCCACACCUCCCUCAAACCCCUGUGAUUUCUGCAUGGAGCUGCCCAGGCCGGCAGCGGGCUCGUCCCACUCAGGUGACCCAAUGGAGCCAGAACCAGGAGCCCGAAGACCACGCUGCGGGUGCUGAGAGCUGCCUUUCCUGUCUGCUUCAGUCCUAUGCUCAGCCACAGCGAGGUUAAGUGCAGCAGAACAGAACUGCCUAAAGUGGAAAUGGGCUGGGACCGGAGAGCGGAGACUUGCCGCCCUAGAGACCUCCACUGGGCUGCGGCGAGAGGAGCGUGGGACCUCUGUUUCCAUCAAACCUGGUGCUGCCGCAAGGUAGAAGGAGCUGCAGGGGGCUUUCUGAUGUGCAGAAAGCCACACGUUGCGCUGCUGGCGACAGCGGGAGGCUGGGCAGGGGCUGCAUGUCACCACAGGGAUACUGUCACCCAGGUGGGGCAAUGUGCCUCGGUCUGGCCUGAGCACCGUGCCCACCCAGCGGGCUGGGAUGGGGGCUUGUGGGGGCUGCCUGCCUCCCUUCUUCCUUGGGUUUUUUUUGGAGCACAUUGAGGCUUUCAUGUGCCGUAUGGAGGUUUGGUGUGUGGGAUGGUGGGGAGGGGACAGCAAGGCUUGGGGGAGCAGAGACAAAGGAGGGAGGCAGCGGGGCGUGCUGGGGGGAUUGCCAUGGCAACUCGAGCUUUUGGCAGCCUGUGCCGUGGCGCCGGGCCAGCUGUGCAUCCCACUGCAGCCCUGGCCCCCUCCUGCUGUGGGCUCUGUGCCCCACUGGCCCCUGCAGCCAUCCUCCCCAGGGAGCAGCUUCAGGGCGAGUGGCUGUGGUACUUUGUCUGGCUCAGGCAGCUCCUGUUUGCUCAGGUUGAAGCCUUGAGUUGCAGAGCAGGCCCAGCCGGAGGGAAACCGGUCUUCUAAGCCCUCUCACUGAAUCAUGGAGGGCAGCGUGGCAUUCUGCUGCCAUUGCUCAUCCUCGGUUAAUCAAUGUAAGUGGGUCCUGCCGUGCCUGCAUCUUUCAAAGAUGCCGAGCCCCGUACCGCACCGUACAUCUCGCACAGGCGGUUUGCCUUGCUGUGGGGUAGCUGUACUCUGAUGGAGAGCAGACACUGAUGAGCCCUGUGAUAUGGUGUGAGACCAUCCUCUGGGCAGGUAAGGGAGGCAUUGAGCAAUUCUGAAGCUGCUUUUGGGAAGACCCCUUGCCAGAGGCUGGCAUAGGGCCAGCUCCUGGUACUAAAGGAAGCAGGGAACAUCAUUGCCAUUCAUAUGGCUGCAUGGAGAGAAGGGGUCAGGAAGUCAGGCUCCAGCCUGGCCAUAAUGCGAGUGUGACUGAGACCUGACCUGUCAUCUGUCAAGUACCUAAAGCCUUGGGUAUGAGCCAGGGGAACGGGACUGGCUGGUCGCAAGCACAGCUUGCCCAUCUUGACACGGAUCACUGCGUGAGCUGUAAACCUCUCUCGUUACACCUUCCAAAGGUCAGUGCUCGCUGUGAAUUACAGUGCUCUGCCCCCAGCCCAGCACGAGGGAGGAAGGAGCCUGCCCUGCCUUCAGAGGAUGCUCUGAA